rnacentral:lncRNA from 1 species
UGGGGCCAACACGUAUUGAUUUUUUUGGAACAAUUUUUGUACCAUAUGAUAAAGUAACAACUACUUAAGGUAAUUAAUAAAAUUUGUAAUGAAAAAUAAAUGUUCAAUUUUUUCUGAAAAUCUUAUACCCGCGAGCCUCCUUAAUAGUUACUUCCAAAUAAAACAUGGGGAAUGUGUCCAAAGGGACACAGAUGAUGCCCCCGCUAGCAUAUAACGAUAUAA